rnacentral:rRNA from 1 species
UACGGGGGGGGCAAGCGUUGUUCGGAAUUACUGGGCGUAAAGGGUUCGUAGGUGGCCAACUAAGUCAUACGUGAAAUCCCUCAGCUUAACUGGGGAACUGCGUCUGAUACUGGUUGGCUUGAGUGCAGGAGAGGAACGCGGAAUUCCAGGUGUAGCGGUGAAAUGCGUAGAUAUCUGGAGGAACACCGGUGGCGAAGGCGGCAUCCUGGACCAACACUGACGCUGAGGAGCGAAAGCCAGGGGAGCAAACGGG